rnacentral:lncRNA from 1 species
AGAAUUCUUCGGAUCCGUAUUGAAGUGAUUCAGCUAGAAAUUGAUAAUCUUCAUUUUAACACUGCUCUGAGUUAAUGGCUGCUCUUGAAAAGGUAUUGAAUCCACCUGGAAUUUCCUUGUGUUUAUGGUUCAAGCUGUUCGUGAGUAUUAUACCACUUGACGACUGAGGCAGAAUCAAAGAAAGUACUAAUGCUCUUCAGUAAAAUAUACAAAACUACAGACAAUGGCAGUGCCUUAUUUUGUAAAGUAUAUAGCUAUGAGCCUUUGCUACUCCUUGCUGACAUUUGGAAUUUAACUGAAGUGUCUUGUUAAAAAACAUUUAUGGAAAUAAAAAGAAUAUCUUUCCUUUUUAGGGAUAUAAAUUAAACUCAAUUUUAUUGGUCAAGGACUAUGGUAUAAGGCCAUUUUAAUAAAGGCAUAACUAAUCUUAUCACCAUCAUUUAGUUACUACUGGAGAUCACAAUUCAAUUAACUCAUAGAUAUGAAACAUCAUUAGAUAUUCAUAAAGAGGGCUGCAAAGCAAAUCAACUUAAAUGUUAAAGCAGAAGAGUAAGUUACAAGUUUUAGCAUUGAUUUUCAAAGUUUGCCCCU